AGCGAACGCUGGCGGCGUGCCUAACACAUGCAAGUCGAACGAGAAAGGGGCUUCGGCUCCGAGUAAAGUGGCGCACGGGUGAGUAACACGUGGGUAACCUGCCUCUAAGAUUGGGAUAACUCGUCGAAAGAUGAGCUAAUACCGAAUAAGACCACAGUUCCCGCGGGAACAGGGGUCAAAGGUAGCCUCUGCUUGCAAGCUAUCACUUAGAGAUGGGCCUGCGCACCAUUAGCUAGUUGGUAGGGUAACGGCCUACCAAGGCAAAGAUGGUUAGCUGGUCUGAGAGGAUGAUCAGCCACACUGGAACUGAGACACGGUCCAGACUCCUACGGGAGGCAGCAGUGGGGAAUAUUGCGCAAUGGGCGAAAGCUUGACGCAGCAACGCCGCGUGAGUGAUGAAGGCCUUCGGGUCGUAAAGCUCUGUCGGGAGGAACGAAUGCUCCUGAGGUUAACAGCCUCGGGAGGUGACGGUACCUUCAAAGGAAGCACCGGCUAACUCUGUG
rnacentral:rRNA from 1 species